GAUUUCGUAGCUCAGCUGGUAGAGCAAUACACUUUUAAUGUAUGGGCCCUGGGUUCGAAUCCCAGCGAAAUCA
rnacentral:tRNA from 1 species